rnacentral:rRNA from 1 species
UAGCCUUGACAUUGAUAGAAUCUGGUAGAGAUAUCGGAGUGCCUGCUUGCAGGAACUUGAAAACAGGUGCUGCACGGCUGUCGUCAGCUCGUGUCGUGAGAUGUUGGGUUAAGUCCCGCAACGAGCGCAACCCUCGUCGUUAGUUGCUAACAGUUCGGCUGAGCACUCUAGCGAGACUGCCUUCGCAAGGAGGAGGAAGGUGAGGACGACGUCAAGUCAUCAUGGCCCUUAUGGCUAGGGCUACACACGUGCUACAAUGGGGCGUACAGAGAGUUGCGAUACCGCGAGGUGGAGCUAAUCUCAUAAAGCGUCUCUCAGUUCGGAUAGGACUCUGCAACUCGAGUCCUUGAAGC